UUUUAUAAAUAGUGUCGGUGUUGUCUUUUUAUUAAAAUUUUGCAAUAAGAACAAGAAGAUACUAUUCGCGAUACAAAAUGAAUAAGCCGCGAAUAAUAAGGUUCGCGAGAGAAAUUAUAUAUAAAACUUUUACCGACCAUGUCUAGCUGAACAAGAAGCAAAAACAAUUCUAUCGGAUCUGGAAGCAUAUGUGAGUGCGUUUCAAGACAUAACCGAAGAUGAUUGGAAAAUCUCAUGUCAACAUGUAAGAAAAAUUUAAAAUGACUAUUACAAGAGAGAACAUACCCUGUAAGAGGACAUUGAAAGAAUUAUAAUAAAUCUUAAAGAUGACAGUAGUAGUUCUUCAGAAUCACAGGAUGACUGUCCAGCCAGCUCCAGUCAUGAAAAUAUGGACAUUGAUUUUACUGAAAUACAAUAUUUGGAAGAAAGUUUUUGGUUUUAUUUGUUGUAACGUAAUUUUUUGAUUACGUUACAUGUUUGGUUUGUCAAGUUUUUUUGUUUAUUUAUUGCGGCUCUGGAGGCUUUGCUUGGUUUGACAGGUGAUUGCCAACAUUGCCACUUAAAAAUUAAAUAAAAUUGAGGAAGUAGGAUUUCCUGCACUGGUCACAUUCGAUAGGGUCAGUGGUCGUUUUGAUGUCUUUUAGUGGAUUGUCUGAGGGACAUCUCUACGUCGAUCUAUGGACUUUCCCAUCCCUACGAUGAUGAUGGACGGCUGUCAUAGACACAGGAAGUCACUUUCUUUGACGGUUCUUGAAGAUAACAUCAUGGAUUAAAUAAUCCAAUUUAAUCUUUCACAAUUAUGGGCAGUAUGCCCUAAUAUUUUGUUAAAAUGUAAAGUAAACAUUCAAAAGUAAUAAUUUAUCUUGAGAUUUUUCUCUUUUAACCUUACGAUGGGCGUCUUAUUGAUGUUCCCUAGUAUUUAUCUAAAUUUGCCUUAAAAACGCUUUCCGCGUUUUUUUUUUAUUUUCCUUUUUUUGGAAGUUUUUUACAAUGGAUUAAUUUUUUACAUGGAGCGAUUUCAUAUUGUAUCCAGUUUAACCUACAUUUGUUGCAAUUUUCUGCACCGGGACCUCUCCGCGAGGAUCUGCUUUAUGGGACCAGCAGUGAAGAGUGUUCUGUGGUCUUCAUUAAUUAUAUUUGACUAACUUUAGUUAUUUCAUUACUCUGGUAUGUAUUUCUAACUUGAUUCCAGUGAUGAUGCAAUAAUGACCAAAGGUAUUUUUAUGUUCUAAAAUAAUUAUUUCCAAAUUUGAGAACUCCUCGGAAAAUAUAAAGAACAACUUUGGCUUACUGGCUCUGAGACUUUCAUUUAGACCGCCCCUGAAGAUUAAAAAGUUCCAGAAUCUUCCUAGCUUAUCCAGUUUCCAAAUACAUGCGGUGGCC